rnacentral:rRNA from 1 species
AGUGAACGUUGGCGGCGUGGAUUAGGCAUGCAAGUCGAGCGAGAACCGUAGCAAUACGGGGACAGCGGCGAAAGGGACAGUAAUGUGUAGGUACCUACCCCCGGGUUCGGGAUAGCUGCGGGAAACUGCAGGUAAUACCGAAUAAUGUCUCCGGACCAAAGGUGUGAUUCCACCUGGGGAGGGGCCUGCAUCCUAUUAGCUUGUUGGUGGGGUAACGGCCUACCAAGGCGACGAUGGGUAGCUGGUGUGAGAGCAUGACCCGCGUCAUUGGGACUGGGACACUGCCCAGACACCUACGGGUGGCUGCAGUCGAGAAUCUUCGGCAAUGGGCGCAAGCCUGACCGAGCGACGCCGCGUGCGGGAUGAAGGCCUUCGGGUUGUAAACCGCUGUCGUAGAGGAGGAAAUGCAGGGGGGUUCUCCCCUUUGCUUGACCUAUUCUAGGAGGAAGUACGGGCUAAGUUCGUGCCAGCAGCCGCCGUAA